GAGAAAUCCCUAUCUGUCAGAUGAAAAUCAAGGCUGUGUAAAACAGUAGUAGUGGAAUACCUGUCAUGUUACGGAUACUGAGCAUUUUGCUGCUUAUAUUCCCUGCGACUCUCUCUGCUCCAACCAGAGAUCUCUGCACCAAAGGCAAAAACAAACUACUGCUGACCAUCUUUGAUGGGUUCAGGUGGGACUACGACCGAGAUGUGGACACCCCAAACCUGGACAAAAUGGCUGAGGAAGGAGUCAAGGCAGCAUAUGUCACUCCACCUUACCUGACCAUCACUAGUCCUACACACUUCACCCUGUUAUCUGGAAGGUACAUUGAGAACCAUGGUGUGAUUCAUAACGUGUGGUUUAACACAACCACACGACAAAGGAAAGAGUACUACAUGACGCAGUUUGUGGAUGAAUAUUGGGAUAAUGGCAGUCUACCCAUUUGGAUCACUGCUCAAAGACAGGGUCUUAAAACUGGAUCUUUACACUUCCCUGGCACUGCAGCCUCUUACCAGAAAGAAACAAUUCAGGUGAGGGAGGUAGAACCAAGAGCCUAUGACUACACCAAUGAGACGGCAUGGAGGGAAAAUGUAGAUAAAGUCAUGAAGGAAUGGUUUAAAGAUCAAGACUUAGACUUUGUCACCUUGUAUUUUGGCGACCCAGAUGAAGCUGGCCACAAGCAUGGACCCGAUUCUUCUGAGCGCCGUGAGGCAGUAAAAAAAGUUGACCGAACUGUGGGCUACAUACGGGAAACUGCUGAGAAACAUGGACUCAGUGACCAUCUGAAUAUUAUCAUCACAGCUGACCAUGGAAUGACCACCGUUUUUAAAGGAGGGCAAGUAAAAGAAAUAGUUCUCACUGACAUUCCAGGGUUCUCUUACAAAGAUCUGCAGUUCCACCUCUUGGACUAUGGACCUUCUGCGAUGCUGUUGCCCAAAGAAGGGAUGCUUGACAAGGUUUAUCAAGCCUUGAAAGGAGGUCAUCCAAACCUUCACGUUUAUAAAAAAGAAGACAUGCCUGCUCGACUGCAUUACUCCAAACAUCCACGUAUUCUACCCAUCAUUCUCUUCGCAGACCCAGGAUAUGUCAUCAAUGGGUUUUACCCACUUCAGACUAAUAAAGGUGAGCACGGCUAUGACAAUGAGGUCAUGGACAUGAAACCUUUCUUUAGGGCAGUGGGACCAGACUUCCACAGUAAUUUGUUGGUUGGACCAUUUGAGAGCGUUAAUGUUUACCCUCUAAUGUGCCACUUACUGGGGAUAAAGCCAGAAAUCAAUGACGGGUCACUGGAUAACACCCGACACAUGCUGAUAUCCAACGGAGAGACAUGUGAUUCUGGAGAUGUUCGUGAGUCGAGUCUACAGAAUGUGUUCAUUGGUCUUGCUGCUGUUGCUGGAUUUUUAUUGCUUAUGUUUGUGGUUGUUACAUCCUACAACGGAUAUAAAAGACACAAAAUUAAUCCAAAAGUGAAAGACAUAGGAGAUGAGGAUGAGAUGAAAGCCGACUCCAAGCAAACAUCAUUCUAAGAGGGACAAUCACUUUUUUCUUAAAAGGAAGGUACAUUGAGAACCAUGGUGUGAUUCAAAACAAUUGGUUCAAUACAACCACACAAGAGAAGACACAAUACUACAAGACAGGAUGAAUACUGGGAUAAUGGCAGUCUACCAAUUUGGAUCACUGCUCAACGACAGGGUAAAAAAAAAUAGGAUCCUUACACUUCCCUGGUACUGCGGCCACUUACCAGAACGAAACAAUCCAAGUAAAGGAGGUGGAACCGAGGUUUUAUGUCCACACCGAUGAGACGGCAUGGAGAUUCAACUGGCCACAAGUAUGGGCCCGACUCUCCCAAGCAGCGCAAGGCUGUCAAGAAAGUGAACCGAGCUGUGGGCUAUAUAUGAGAAACAUGGACUCAGUGACCAUCUGAAUAUUUUCAUCACAGCUGACCAUGGAAAGAGCA